rnacentral:misc_RNA from 1 species
GGGAGGGAGUCGAAUAUUACUGAAGAUGACACUAGCAGUAUACACUUUAUGCAGAGGCUUAUGUAAUUUAAAACUUGGAACUUCAGAAGCAUUGCUUAGAAUUCCUUUUGACAUGUUCAUGCCCGUUAGCACUACUGUAUGGCCUAUCGGAAUCUAGUCUUUGGUUUUGUUGCCACCUCAAUAAGCCUGUACAUCCAUCUAUCUAGCAUUCCUGUCAAAGCAAACGUACCACCUAAAAUUGCACAAAGCCGAGUGAUAAAAUGGAGAAAACUACGUCGUUCUUCUUUGAUUGUCACUGUGAUGGGUGACAAAUCAUACAAGAAGUAAACAGCUGGCCAUGUCCUAUCAAAUUCUUUCAUAGGGGAAAAAUACUCGGUAACAGAGAACUGAUUGGUUGGCAACACUUCUUUAGAUAUGUAUCUAUAUUCAGUUGGAACAAUCUUAAUGUAAUAUUUGAAUGUUCCACUUGUAUCAUGCAAAAUUCGCAUUGUUCCAUCUAGAGGGUUGUGAAGACCAGGGUACUUUGGUCCAAAUGAUAAGUCGUGAAUAAUGUGACUCACAUUGACAUGAUUGGAUCCUUCAAAAAUCAUUUGAGCAACAAAUAUAUUUAGCCCAUGAACUGAAAUAUGAAAGUUUCCUGCAACCCUUUGGACAUCUAGAACACCAAAAACCCUGCAUCCUUCUCCAUUAGCCAAUGCCUGUUUAACCUUUUUUAUCAUAUUUUCAGCAGCUUGAUCAAAGCCAUGAGUGUGAAGUUUCAUGUCCAAAUCCUCAUGGUGACCUUUAUCAUCAUCAUGUUUGUGAGAAGCAUGCUCCUUUUCUACAAGGUCCGACAAAUAUUC